rnacentral:rRNA from 1 species
GACGAACGCUGGCGGCGUGCCUAAUACAUGCAAGUCGAACGCAGUGGGGACGGGUGAGUAACACCUGGCUAACCUCCCAUCAGAGGGGAUAACCCUUGGCAACAGGUGCUAAACCGAUACUGAUGGAUGGACCCGCGGUGCAUUAGCUAGUCGGUGAGGUAACGGCUCACCAAGGCCACGAUGCAUAGCCGACCUGAGAGGGUGAUCGGCCACACUGGGACUGAGACACGGCCCAGACUCCUACGGGAGGCAGCAGUAGGGAAUCUUCGGCAAUGGACGAAAGUCUGACCGAGCAACGCCGCGUGAGUGAAGAAGGUUUUCGGAUCGUAAAACUCUGUUGUUAGAGAAGCGGUAUCUAACCAGAAAGCCACGGCUAACUAUGUGCCAGCAGCCGCGGUAAUAC